UCCUAAAUGACUGAGAAUAAGUGUUAGACUUUUAAUUUAAUUACGGUAAUUCAUUUUUACCUUUAGGAA
rnacentral:tRNA from 2 species